GUCGGGAAUUUUGGGCAAUGGGCGAAAGCCUGACCCAGCAACGCCGCGUGAGGGAUGAAGGCCUUCGGGUCGUAAACCUCUGUCGGGAGGGAAGAACGGUUCACGUUCGAAUAGGGCGGGAACCUGACGGUACCUCCAAAGGAAGCACCGGCUAACUCCGUGCCAGCAGCCGCGGUAAUACGGAGGGUGCAAGCGUUGUUCGGAAUCAUUGGGCGUAAAGCGCGUGUAGGCGGCUUGGCAAGUCAGUUGUGAAAGCCCGGGGCCCAACCCCGGAACUGCAUCUGAAACUGCCUGGCUAGAGUCCCGGAGAGGAAGGCAGAAUUCCCGGUGUAGGGGUGAAAUCCGUAGAUAUCGGGAGGAAUACCAGCGGCGAAGGCGGCCUUCUGGACGGUGACUGACGCUGAGACGCGAAAGCGUGGGGAGCAAACAGGAUUAGAAACCCCAGUAGUCC
rnacentral:rRNA from 1 species